rnacentral:rRNA from 1 species
AACGAACGCUGGCGGCAUGCCUAACACAUGCAAGUCGAACGAUACCUUCGGGUCUAGUUGCGCACGGGUGCGUAACGCGUGGGAACCUGCCCUUAGGUUCGGAAUAACUCCCCGAAAGGGGUGCUAAUACCGGAUAAUGUCUUCGGACCAAAGAUUUAUCGCCUUUGGAUGGGCCCGCGUUGGAUUAGCUAGUUGGUAGUGUAAAAGCCUACCAAGGCGACGAUCCAUAGCUGGUCUGAGAGGAUGAUCAGCCACACUGGGACUGAGACACGGCCCAGACUCGUACGGAAGGAAGCAGUGGGGAAUAUUGGAGAAUGGGGGAAAGCGUGAUCCAGCAAUGCCGCGUGAGAGAUGAAGGCCUUAGGGUUGUACAGCUCGUUUAGACGGGAUGAUAAUGACAGUACCGGGAGAAUAAGCACCGGCUAACUCCGUG